rnacentral:rRNA from 1 species
UGAACGCUGGCGGCAGGCCUAACACAUGCAAGUCGAGCGAGAAAGGCCUUCGGGCUGAGUACAGCGGCGGACGGGUGAGUAACGCGUAGGAAUCUACCUGGUAGUGGGGGACAACUUGUGGAAACGCAAGCUAAUACCGCAUACGCCCUAUGGGGGAAAGCGGGGGAUCUUCGGACCUCGUGCUAUCGGAUGAGCCUGCGUAGGAUUAGCUAGUUGGUGAGGUAAAGGCUCACCAAGGCGACGAUCCUUAGCUGGUCUGAGAGGAUGAUCAGCCACACUGGGACUGAGACACGGCCCAGACUCCUACGGGAGGCAGCAGUGGGGAAUAUUGCGCAAUGGGGGCAACCCUGACGCAGCCAUGCCGCGUGUGUGAAGAAGGCCCUAGGGUUGUAAAGCACUUUCAAUUGGGAAGAAAGGUCAGUAGUUAAUAACUGCUGGCUGUGACAUUACCUUUAGAAGAAGCACCGGCUAACUCC